GUGCCCGUAGCUCAACUGGAUAGAGUGCCGGGCUUCGAACCCGGAGGCUGCAGGUUCAACUCCUGCCGGGCACA
rnacentral:tRNA from 1 species